UGCGUAGGCGGAAUAAUAAGUCAGUGGUGAAAUCCUGUGGCUCAACCACAGAACUGCCAUUGAUACUGUUAUUCUUGAAUAUAGUUGAGGUAGGCGGAAUGUGUAAUGUAGCGGUGAAAUGCUUAGAUAUUACACAGAACACCGAUUGCGAAGGCAGCUUGCUAAACUAUUAUUGACGCUGAGGCACGAACGCGUGGGGAGCGAACAGGAUUAGAUACCCUGGUAGUCC
rnacentral:rRNA from 1 species